rnacentral:rRNA from 1 species
GAUGAACGCUAGCUACAGGCUUAACACAUGCAAGUCGAGGGGAAACGAUAUUGGAAGCUUGCUUCCGAUAGGCGUCGACCGGCGCACAGGUGAGUAACGCGUAUCCAACCUGCCCAUCACUUGGGGAUAACCUUGCGAAAGUAAGACUAAUACCCAAUGACGUCUCUAGAAGACAUCUGAAAGAGAUUAAAGAUUUAUCGGUGAUGGAUGGGGAUGCGUCUGAUUAGCUUGUUGGCGGGGUAACGGCCCACCAAGGCGACGAUCAGUAGGGGUUCUGAGAGGAAGGUCCCCCACAUUGGAACUGAGACACGGUUCAAACUCCUACGGGAGGCAGCAGUGAGGAAUAUUGGUCAAUGGGCGAGAGCCUGAACCAGCCAAGUAGCGUGCAGGAUGACGGCCCUAUGGGUUGUAAACUGCUUUUAUAGGGGAAUAAAGUGGGAGUCGUGACUCCUUUUGCAUGUACCUUAUGAAUAAGGACCGGCUAAUUCCGUGCCAGCAGCCGCCGUAA